GAUGAACGCUGGCGGCGUGCCUAAUACAUGCAAGUCGAGCGAACAGACGAGGAGCUUGCUCCUCUGACGUUAGCGGCGGACGGGUGAGUAACACGUGGAUAACCUACCUAUAAGACUGGGAUAACUUCGGGAAACCGGAGCUAAUACCGGAUAAUAUAUUGAACCGCAUGGUUCAAUAGUGAAAGACGGUUUUGCUGUCACUUAUAGAUGGAUCCGCGCCGCAUUAGCUAGUUGGUAAGGUAACGGCUUACCAAGGCAACGAUGCGUAGCCGACCUGAGAGGGGGCUCGGCCCCCCGGGACCUGAAACACGGUCCAGACCCCUACGGGAGGCAGCAGUGGGAAAUCUUCCGCAUGGGGCAAAAGCUUGACGGGGCAACGCCGGGGGGGUAAUGAGGGGUUUCGGUCCGUAAACCGCUUUUUUUAGGGAAAAAAAAAUUUGUAAGUAACAAUGCCCGUUUUGACGGUCCCUAAUCAAAAACCCCCGGCUAACUACGU
rnacentral:rRNA from 1 species